rnacentral:rRNA from 1 species
AUGUCUGUUGUUGUGAUGCAGGGAAGCGAUUUCUUCUUGGAGCAGCCAGCUUCCACAAUGGGCGUCACUCCUUCAACACAAGACCCAUCCUCCUCUUCAUAUUGCUACUUGCACCGGUGGCGCCGCGGGUUUCCUCUUCUUCUUCUCGGUCUGAUGUACAAAAUCUUCUUCUGCUCCUCCUUCCCCGCCGUCUCAGGAGCUCACAUGCCUGGCAGAACCAUGGCUGAAAUGGAUAGCGAGAAGGUCCGUGUAAGACUAUGCGUUCGUCUACCACAUUAUGAAUGCCCCGAUCCUCCACAGUGUAACUGCUGUCUCGUGACUGAAUUAUGCUACACGACCAUGGCUGAGUGCAUCAUAGAGUGUGAGAAACUCUAA